GGAGGGGGCUAGCGUUGUUCGGAAUUACUGGGCGUAAAGCGUACGUAGGCGGUUUUGUAAGUUAGAGGUGAAAGCCCGGAGCUCAACUUCGGAAUUGCCUUUAAGACUGCAUCACUUGAACGUCGGAGAGGUGAGUGGAAUUCCGAGUGUAGAGGUGAAAUUCGUAGAUAUUCGGAAGAACACCAGUGGCGAAGGCGGCUCACUGGACGACUGUUGACGCUGAGGUACGAAAGCGUGGGGAGCAAACAGGAUUAGAUACCCUGGUAGUCCACGCCGUAAACGAUGAUAACUAGCUGUCCGGGCACUUGGUGCUUGGGUGGCGCAGCUAACGCAUUAAGUUAUCCGCCUGGGGAGUACGGCCGCAAGGUUAAA
rnacentral:rRNA from 1 species